AACAUGGCUUUAUUCAAAGCCAACUUUUUUUGAAAUUUAAAAACUA
rfam:Neotoma lepida isolate 417 scaffold_105350, whole genome shotgun sequence.